UCAUCAGUGAGGUUAAUCCUUUUUUCUUUUUCGAUUGGAGUAAUGGAGCAUAAUGAUUUGGGAUAAUGAGGCUGUGAUUAAACUAUUCUGGUUUGUGGAGUGCAGUAAUCUCUACACUAAUCAUAUCUGGU